UAAGAUGGGUAAGCAAGGGAAAGAUAAAGCCGGUUGUUGAUACUAUCCUCCCGUUUAGCAACAUGGUUGAAGGGCACAUCAAGAUGGCAAACUCGCAACUGUUCGGAAAAAUAUUAACUACUCCGCAGAAAUUAUGAGUGUUAAUUAGAAUUGAAUCAAUUUAGAUUUGGAACGGCAAUAAAUU
rnacentral:misc_RNA from 1 species